UUUCACGUUAUAUAGACAGGACGUUUAAUUUUAAAAUCGCUAUCCUUCCAUAUUUGAAGAAAUCAGAGCAAGUGUUUCACUUUAUAUAGACAGGACGUUUA